GGUAGCGUGGCCGAGUGGUCUAAGGCGCUGGUUUAAGGCACCAGUCUCUUCGGAGGCGUGGGUUCGAAUCCCAUCGCUGCCA
rnacentral:tRNA from 1 species